rnacentral:rRNA from 1 species
UACGGGGGGGCAAGGCGUUGUUCGGAAUUACUGGGCGUAAAGGGCUCGUAGGCGGCCAACUAAGUCGGAUGUGAAAUCCCCAGGCUCAACCUGGGAACUGCAUCCGAUACUGGAUGGCUUGAAUCCGGGAGAGGGAUGCAGAAUUCCAGGUGUAGCGGUGAAAUGCGUAGAUAUCGUGGAGGAAUACCGGUGGCGAAGGCGGCAUCCUGGACCGGCAUUGACGCUGAGGAGCGAAAGCUAGGGGAGCAAACGGG